rnacentral:rRNA from 1 species
GAUGAACGCUAGCGGCAGGCUUAAUACAUGCAAGUCGAGGGGUAGCAAGAUUGUAGCAAUACAAUUGUUGACGACCGGCAAACGGGUGCGGAACACGUACACAACCUUCCUACAAGUGGGGAAUAGCCCAGAGAAAUUUGGAUUAAUACCCCGUAACAUAGCGAUGUGGCAUCACAUUGCUAUUAUAGCUUCGGCGCUUGUUGCUGGGUGUGCGGCUGAUUAGAUGGUUGGCGGGGUAACGGCCCACCAAGUCUACGAUCAGUAGCUGAUGUGAGAGAAUGAUCAGCCACACGGGCACUGAGACACGGGCCCGACUCCUACGGGAGGCAGCAGUAAGGAAUAUUGGACAAUGGACGCAAGUCUGAUCCAGCCAUGCCGCGUGAAGGAUUAAGGUCCUCUGGAUUGUAAACUUCUUUUAUAAGGGACGAAAAAAGGUCUUUCUAGAUCGUCUGACGGUACCUUAUGAAUAAGCACCGGCUAACUCCGUGCCAGCCGCCGCGGUAAAAC